GGUGUGAAGUGGUAGCUUAUUGAGGUUUUGAUUUGCAUUUCCCUAAUGAUUAGUGAUGUUGAGCAUCUUUUCAUAUGCUUGUUUACCACUUGCAUUUAUCUCCUUUGGAAAAAUGUCUAUUCUAGACCUUUGCCCAUUUUUGAGUCUAGGGUUUUGGGGUUUUUGGUUGUUGAAUUUUAGGAGUUGUGUAUAUAUUCUAGAUACCAAUCCCUUAACAUGUUUGUAAUUUGCAAGUAUCUUCUUCCAUUCUGUGGUUGCCGUUUUGUUGACAGUGUCCUUUGAUACACACAAGUUUUAAAUUUUAAUGAAGUGCAAUUCGUAUCAUUUUUUGUUGUUUCCUGUGCCUUUGGUGUCACAUUCAAGUCAUUCCCUAGUCCAGUGUCAUCAAGUUUUUCUAUGUUUUAAGUGUUUUAUAUUGUUAACUCUUAUGUUUAGGUCUUUGAGUGUUGCCAUGAGCUGUGGCGUAGGUUGCAGACCUGGCUCGGAAUUUUAUUCUUUUUGAUGCUAUCGUAAGAGGAAUUGUUUUCUUUUUUUCUUUUUUUGGCCAUGCCCAUGCCAUAUGGAAGUUCCCAGGCCAGGAUCAAACCCAUGCCACAGCAGUGAUCCAAGCUGCUGCAGUGACAAUGAUAGAUCCUUAACCCUCAGUGCCACAAGAGAACUCCUAGAAUGUUUUCUUAAUUUCUUUUUCGGACAGUUCACUGUAGAAACAGAGUUGAGUUUUGUAUCCUGCAACUUUGCUCAAUCCACUUAUUCAGCUGUCUUUUUUUUGUAGAACCUUAAGCACUUCCUAUAUAUCCAAUCAUACUAUCUGCAUAUAGAUAACUUUAUUUCUUACCCCCCAAAGAGUUCUCUAUAUGUCAUGUUAUAUUUUGAAGCUCUGACCUUAACUUUGAGAUUCAUUAAGUUUGUGUUUACAAGGAAGGAGAGGGGGUUGUCACAGAAAGUUCUAUUUGGAAGGGUGCUUAGAGGGUGCAGUUCAGCCCAAGGUCACACAGCGAAGUUGGGAGAUUGAACAGGCAUCUGAAACCUCAUCUGCAUUCCUCCUUCUAGCUUUCUAGGAGCAGACAAAGCCAAGCUGGCAGCGUGGAAAGCCCUUGCCUGGAAGGUUUCAUGGGACUGAGACUUGUUCCUUUUCUGCUUUCACCCAAAGCUUCCCUUAAACCUUAGGAAGUGGUGAAUCUGGCUGAAACCCAGUGCAUCCAUAUGGUUAAAAUAAACGUCCUGGGUGGCCUACAAUGGAAAAGAAUUGAUGAAGAGUCAGAUUUGGAAGUGGGAGAGAUAGAUUUGGAAGUUGGAGUAGUUUUGCCUUUGUGAUGUUGGGGCUUUUUAGCACCAGGUACACACAUGGUCUCAGUCUUCGGGCUGAGGGGGUCCUCCCGGUUGAACACCUCUAUACCUCUGCCAGCUGCUUGGAAAGGUGUCUGGAGGAAGGUGCGCUCUGAGGGGUAAGAUUAUGGCCCCAGACAGAUAAUAGGUGGAAUCACAGAAGACCGGAGCCCGAGGGUGGGGUGAAGAAACCAGGAGCUGUGUUAAGAGCCCAGGUUGUGAAGUAGAGGUUUGAGUUUAUAUCCUGGUCCUCUUUUCCUUUUGCCUACAAGAAAUAGUUUACUAGUGCUUACCGAGCAAGCCCUCACCAGGUGCCAGCUUUGCUAAAUGAUUUACAUACAUUUGUUUUUCUCCAAAAGUAGAGAAAACUUCUUUCCCUUUACAGUAGUCCCUCCCUAUUUACAGGGUAUAUGUUACAAGAGUCCCAGUGGAGGCCUGAAUCCAGGGAUAAUAGCGAACCCUAUGUAUACCAUGCUUUUUCUAUGUGUACACAUCUAUGAUUACAAAUUAGGCACGGUCAGAGAAUAUCUGAAUUGCCAGCAUCACUAUGCUUGCACUUUGGGGCUGUUAAUAAGUAAGAGAGUUACUUGAACACAAGCACUGAAGUACAGUGACAGUUGAUCUGAAAAUAGAUCAACUCCUGAGUGACUAGCAGGCAGGGCUGAAGCAUAUACAGUACAGAUAAAUUGAAAAAAAGGGAUGACUUACAUCCCUGGCCUGGAGGGUGGGAGAUUUCAUUAUGCUUCUUAGCACAGCAUGCAAUUUAAAAUUUAUGACUUGUCGGAGUUCCUGUCAUGGCACAGCGGAAAUGAAUCCAACUAGGAACCAUGAGGUUGCGGGUUCAAUCCCUGGCUUCACUCAGUGGGUUAAGGAUCCGGCAUUACCGUGAGCUGUGGUGUAGGUCGCAGACCCGGCUCGGAUCUGGCGUUGCUGUGGCUGUGGUGUAGGCUGGCAGCUGCAGCUCCGAUGAGACCCCUAGCCUGGGAACCUCCAUAUGACAUGGUAUCCCCCUACCCCCCAUCACUGCCACUUUUACUUUUUUUCCUUUACUGUUGGACACAGGGUCUAGGUUUACACUGAUAUCCAAGGACUUGAAGCAUCAUCACAGCCCCCUUGUGAAGAACAGGAGCACAGAGUCAGGUGAUACAGUCAACUCAACAGCAGAUAUUCAAGAUGAGGGAGCACAAAUGCCUUUAAAAGCUCUUUCCUAAAUCAGAGUGUUAGAAGCAAGGUAGAUGUCCUUAUAUAAUGUUCUUAGGCUUCAGAGGAGGGGCCCUAGCUACAUUUUCCGUUAGCUUUCAUUAUCUAGAGUGCUUGCUCACUCCACAGCUCAUCAGUCUGAAGCCUAAUACAGAAGACACUUUUACUUUCAGUUCCUUGAAAAGCAUCUGUAAGAAGCCAUCUCUCCUGAGGCAGCUGAACCAUCCAAAUUACUUCCCCCUUUAGGAACAUUUAGGGAAAUAUUAAUAUUCAUUUUCCAGAUGUAAAAUGAGUAUUAAACUUAUUCUGAAGAGCCCUUCCAGCAUGUUCAUAUUCUGCCAAGCCCCAGUGUCCAGCUUGACACUGACAGAGGGAAAUGGGAAAACCAGGACCUUGGAUGAAUGGCUAAGGAAGUUGGGGCACUUUAAUCUGGGGAACUUAAGCAGGGAGGCUCCAUCUCCAAAUUCCAAAAGGAUGAGUGACCUGUGGGAAAAUCAAUAUCCUCUAUCUGGGUGUUCUGGGGAGAAAUCAGGAAGAAACCUGAUUUGGUUCAGUGGAAGAAACUCCUAGUACUCAGCCCAAACCAUGUUAGAGAGCUGGAUGCCAGUAGGUCGUGAACUGCCCAUCACUAGUUUGUGUGAGAGGGACAGACCUCAGGGUGACCGUAAAGCGAGACAGACUUGAAUUAAUAUCGCACUUAGUCCUGGCUGUGUAGGUUCAGGCAAGUAACUUAAAAUUCUGUUUCUUUACCUAUGAGAAGGGCACCUCAUUUCUUUCAUGAAUGUAUACAAAAAUUAAAAGAUGUCUGGGUUGCAGUGACAAUGUUUAGUCAUUUCAUUAUGACAGAAAUGCAACCCACAGCUAGCUUAAGCAAAAGGGAAUUUACUAGCUUACAUAACAGGGAAGUCCAGAGAUGGCACUGGUUUCAGACAUGACCAGGGUA
rnacentral:lncRNA from 1 species